GGUAAACAAAUAGACAAAAUAGGUAAACAAAUAGACAAAAAUAAACAAACAAAUAGAUAAAAUAAGGAAACACAUAAAUAUCCAUAUAAAAACAAAUAAAUGAACGAAUAAAAUAAAGAUGUACUUAAAAAAAUGAUUAAAUAUAUUGUAUGUAUAAUAUCUUAUUAUAUAUUGUUCUGUUCUUAUUAUAUUUAUAUAAAUAUAAGAACGCCAAUUUAUGAUUAUUCCAACAAAGUACAACAUGAUUUAAAGAAUGAAGGAAUUAAUUCGUUAGGAGAAGAAUAUAUAUAUAAGCCUUUUAAAAAUGCAUUAAAAGAAAAUGACAAAAUAGAUUAUCGUUUUUAUUUAACAAGUAUAGAGAAUAUAAAUUUAAAUAAACAUAUUAAAAAUAAAUAUAUUGAUAAAGAUGAACGUUUUAUUAAUGUAUUUAAUUUAACAAACGUUAGUUAUGUUUGGGAAAAAAACAAAGCAGAAUAUUCGAGUUAUUAUAAUUUUUAUUCACCUAAUAGAUAUUCCAACUUUUCUCUAGUGAUUCCUAAAAAAUUAGUUAAUAAGAACAAACACAUUUAUUUACAUAUAAUAACAUAUGUAAACAAUAAUAUAUAUAGACAUGGAUGUGUAAGCACUAUAUUAACAAAAAAAGAAAAAUAUAAGAAAACAAAAGAGCCAAAGGUAGGAUACUUAUGGGAAUGGUUUAUUAAAAAAAAUAAGGUGAAAGAAGAACAACUUCAGCAAUUAGAAAAAAAUGCAGCAAAUGAAAAAGAUGAAGUAAGCAAGAAGGGAAAACAAAACGAAGAAAGUGACAACGAAGGGGAUGAAGAAGACAUAGAGGAAGAUGAAGAUGAUUAUAUAAAUGAUGCUGAUAUACCAAUAAUACCCGUAGAAAACAAACAAAAGCAUUGGGAAAAUAAAAAUAAUCAUGAAAAAGAAAUAAAACAAAAUUUAAAUAAAAAAAAAAAAAAUGAAAAUAAAAAAAAUAAAUAUAAUUUAUUAUAUAUAACAAAGAGAAUUAAAUUUGGGCCUGUUAUAGAACAUAAUCAUAUAAAUGUAAAAAAGAUUGGUUUCUUUUCUAAUAUAUUUUUAGAUAAAACAACAUAUACAUAUCACAUGCCCACAUAUUUUAAUAAUUAUUUAACAUCUGACGAUGAUUAUGAGCUAGUUCUUGUUAAUGAUAAAGAGGAGUCUCAAGUGGAAGUAGAACAAGUGAAUACAAAAGACGCAAUUAAAAAAAAUGUAAAUGUAGAACAUGCAAGUACAGACCUUGCUAGUACAAUACAAACCAACAACGAAAAAAAAAAAAGUUCUAAUAAUAACGCAAAUAAAAAUGGAAGUAAAGAAAACAUAGUUUAUAUACAA
rnacentral:lncRNA from 1 species